GUAGCAUGUGCGGGUUCCGGCCUUUUAAAUAAAGUUAAAAGGGAAUCUGGUGUAAAUCCAGAGCUGACGCGCAGCGGUAAACAGGAAAAAUAACAGCCGCAUCAUUCGCUAUCAUCUGGCGAUAGGAUGCAGACACUGUCUAGCAAGACGGGAAGUCGUUGUUAAGUAAGUCUCCUUAAGCCCGAAGACCUGCCGGAAAUCUGUCGCAUUU
rnacentral:ncRNA from 1 species